CAGGCCCUGUUUGGAGGAGAGAAGAGAAAAACAAAGGACAGCGUUAGUUCCAGAGCUGAGAUGAUGUGAUAGAGUGAAGGGAACCCACCUCCCCUUUGUCUUUGCAGUUCCCCUUCACAUCCCACCCCUCAGCUGACUGGGGUGUUGUGUUCCCCCUUGGAGGCGUGGUGGGUUUGUCCAUCAUUUGGAGAGCAUUAUCAGUGUUGAGGAGGAGAUAAGGAGGCAGGCAAAGAGCUUGAGGAACACUUAGAGGAGGCACAGUCCUUGUCUGAGGAGGAGGAGGAUGCCCUGGGCAGGUGUCAGUCCAGCCCCACCAUGCUUGGAAGUUGCCCUCCUUGGAGAGUCCUGAUGGAAACCACCACAUGAGAGCCACUGGGGACCAGAGACCUUGGUGCUCCAGAGUGGCACAACUUGUGACUGGUAACAAAUGAUCGUCGGCUCAGGAAAUGGCAUCGUGCAGAUGUGGAUUCUCAGGAAGAGGCAAAGGAGAGCCUGAGAUGUUAAAUCCAAGCACUGCCAGAAGGUGAAGGAAAUGAUGGGAAGAUUCAGUGAUGAGCGAGAAGCUGUGUCAUGCCCAUGCUCAAACAAAAUUGAUUACAAGAGCACAUGAUCAUCCAAGAGGGGUAAAACUGCUAUGCUGUAAUCAGACAUUUCCUCGCUGAAUAGACCUUGUGAUGUGAAAGGUGGAAACCCACAGGCAUUUGUUAGGGGCAGGUAGAGCCUUGGCAGGUAGAAUGGAAAGGGCUUCUGAGACUGGUUUUCUCUCAGACCUGUUACUGCUCCCUAUUCUUUGGUUUUGACCCCUCAAACCAAUGGCAGCUGCUCAGCACAUCAUCCAAAAACUAUAAAAAUAGUGAAAAUUUCUGCAGAUUUGAAACUAAAUGUUGAUUAGCCUUAACCUUUUAUGUAUUUACACCUGCCCAAGCACUGCUAAAUCAGUGCCUUUCUCUGGCAUCUCUAUCUAUAGAUGGUGGAUUUUAAUGUGUGACCAGUUCUUAUCACUGUUUUCUAGUUCACAGUUCUGCACUGGUUAUUGGCUUUGAUUUAAUGACACUUUUAGAAAUUUCAUAAUCUAUCCUAAAGCAACUGCACUGUGGUUGAGUUGGAGAGUUCCCAAACAGAUAAGUCACCUAAUACAGAGAGGAAAUAAAACUCAAAGUGCUGGGUCAUUACUAGAAAAAAUAAAACAAGUAUUUUCUCUUAAAUUUAUUCUUAAUUCUUUUCUGUGGAAGAAUGUAUUCUGGUAUCAGACAGCUUGGCCUUGUAAAGAUUGUAAAGAUAGUCUACAGAAGAGACAAGCAUAAAGCUACAGGGACAGAAUAAAGUAGUAAUUAGAUACGAUCAUGAAAUCAGGGCAGAUGGCUCAUUUCAUCACAGGCUGCCUGUGACUCCUGUGUGUUCUCUGAACUGUCACUCCCUAGGGGAAAAGAACAGCUCCCACCAGGACAGGGAGAGAACUCAACUGAGGCUCCCUAGCCCUGGCAUCCCAGCAAAUAUUUUGGCUCUGCUUUGCUCAAAUCCCAGUACCUGGGCAUUGAGGUGUGAGUGCACUGGGGCUCUGGCUGCCCCUACUCAGCUUAUUAUUGUAGUUAUUUAUUAUUGCUUGCUUGUAGUUUUCUUCUUGGUUUAUUUUGUGUCCACCUUUAUGACUAUGUUCUUCCUCUCCUGGCUAUUUCCUUCCUUCCCCAUGAGGCAACCUUAGCUUUUGAGACCUUAAAGCUGCCAUGGCACAACCUCUGCCCCCUCAUACCAGCACUCCUGUUUGAGACUCAGAGCUAAUUUAGGCCAAGUUUAUUAAGGACUAAUUAUUUACCUGUGUAUUGAUGAUGAUUAAAGCCUAACCCUGAGUGACAUGUGAUGUUAAUGAUUGUCUAAUAAAGCCUGGUCUAAGGUUUCAAA